rnacentral:rRNA from 1 species
CAGUCACAGUUCGGAUUGAAGGCUGAAAUUCGCCUUCAUGAAGCCGGAAUUGCUAGUAAUGGCAGGUCAGCAUACUGCCGUGAAUACGUUCCCGGGCCUUGUACACACCGCCCGUCACACCACGGAAGUUGGGGGCGCCCGAAGCCACUUAGCUAACCCUUUUGGGAAGCGAGUGUCGAAGGUGAAAUCAAUAACUGGGGUGAAGUCGUAACAAGGUAAC